GUCGUCCUCCUGGAGCCACUUCCCCCUCUGUCAGCCCCUUCGUCAGCGCUUGUCGCCGCGCCCCCAUGGGCGCACUGUGGCCGACCGAGCUUUAAUGGCGUUCAGCGUCUUCCUCCUCUGCGGCCUCGGCCCGUCUUGCCCUGUGCCUCACUGUCACUCGUCCGCUCCUCCCUCGUCGCGUUCCCGCGCCUCCCCGUGAUCGCUGGCCUCGCCAGAGCAUGGCCGGACACGAGCGCCGGCACCCGAGCCACGGCCACGCGUCCACGUCCUCCCCUCCUCGCCCCGCCUAUCUAUAGCCCUCUGCGCCCCUCCCGAGCACACCACUCGCCUCCACUCACUCCUUUGGUCCUGCCCAGCCUCUCCAACGAGCUCUAGGAGCUCCUGAGCCCUCCUAUGGCCGCCAUGGCCGCCAAUGGUGCCCACCUAAAUUGGCGGCAACCAAGCCCUCCCUCUCUUAUUGGCCAUCACCAGAGCCCUACACCACCACUCCAGAUCGACCCCGCGCCUCCACCCAUCUUCCCCACGACCCUAGCGCCGAGUCCAUCUUCACCGUGGCCGCCGUCCGCUGUGGCCAGUACCUCGCGCAACCCCAAGCUCCUUGGCGGCCGUGUCCUGCCUGUAUGGAUCCGCCUCAUCGCGCUGAUCACGCCGGUAGGUCGCACGCCGCGGGAGGUGACCGGAAUCACCGGGAAUCCGCGUCGGGCCGCCGGCCUCGUCUCUGCAUCGCGGGCAAGCGGGAGGAGGAAGAAGGAGCCGGGCCAGGCGGGGCCCAUCUUCACGCGGCCCCACUGUCGGCGGGUAGGCGUUGAUCCGAUCUGCCCACAUGGAUAAGUGACGGGUCCUACCCUGCGGGACCCGCAGGUCAGCGACCCCACGCCUGGCCUCGCCACUGUCCACGUGGUUAAGUGGAAGCGUACUUCAUAAAGUACGUUUUCCCGCGAAGGGCCUGUUUGUAGGAAUCUUUUCACAGAUAGGUCCCUGGCAGAAAAAACCUUAUAUCUUUUCAACCGUAGCUCCAAAUCAGCCCCUCCGAGAGAAAGUUGUUUCCGGCAAAUCUUUCCGCGGCUUCACCGCACAUCUCCCCGGUGUAUUCUUCAUCCCCAGGAAAGCCACACCCUCCAUUUUCAUGAUUGCAAUGCAGUGACAUGGUUUAUUCAUUUGAACUUGUUUAAAAUACUGCAGUAGCUAUGUAUGAUUUGUUCAUGGCAUCUCUCGGAGUAUUGUUGUGAUCUUGAUGUUGCCAUGAUAUUGCUUGGAGUUCUAGUACUUAUAUUUUGAUGAUUAUAUGAAUGACAUGUUGCCUUUGGAUUCUUAGGGGCGAUUAUGAUUAUGUUCAUGAUGGUAUUAGGCUUUGGAGUAUUACUUUGGAUGACAUGUUGCCUUUGGAUUCUUAAUGGCUAUUAUGAUUAUGUUCAUGAUGGUAUUAUGCUUUGGAGUAUUACUUUGGAUGACAUGUUGCCUUUGGAUUCUUAGUGGCUAGUGUUAGUUUCAUCAUGAUGCUAGUUGAUCUUAUGUUUUGGCGUAUGAUGCUGGAGAUGAUGCUUGCAUGUGGGUCAUAGUUGGAUAGUUAGUUCUUGAUAUUUGAGUAGUAGUCUUAUCGGUCUGGGAUUCAUCCUAAUAGCAGUGCUAAUAUCCUUAGAGUAUUUUGAUAUGACAAUAUUAAGCUUUGGAUUAUUAGUUGGAUAUUGCUAUGACUUGGAUUAUAGUUUGAUAGUUGUUAUCGGAGUAUCAGUUAUCAUAGUUAUAUUUUUGGGGAUAAAUUCC